rnacentral:rRNA from 1 species
CGCUAGCUACAGGCUUAACACAUGCAAGUCGAGGGGCAUCAGGAAGAAAGCUUGCUUUCUUUGCUGGCGACCGGCGCACGGGUGAGUAACACGUAUCCAACCUGCCCUUUACUCGGGGAUAGCCUUUCGAAAGAAAGAUUAAUACCCGAUAGCAUAAUGAUUCCGCAUGGUUUCAUUAUUAAAGGAUUCCGGUAAAGGAUGGGGAUGCGUUCCAUUAGGUUGUUGGUGAGGUAACGGCCCACCAAGCCUUCGAUGGAUAGGGGUUCUGAGAGGAAGGUCCCCCACAUUGGAACUGAGACACGGUCCAAACUCCUACGGGAGGCAGCAGUGAGGAAUAUUGGUCAAUGGGCGCUAGCCUGAACCAGCCAAGUAGCGUGAAGGAUGAAGGCUCUAUGGGUCGUAAACUUCUUUUAUAUAAGAAUAAAGUGCAGUAUGUAUACUGUUUUGUAUGUAUUAUAUGAAUAAGGAUCGGCUAACUCCGUGCCAGCAGCCGCGGUAAUACGGAGGAUCCGAGCGUUAUCCGGAUUUAUUGGGUUUAAAGGGAGCGUAGGUGGACUGGUAAGUCAGUUGUGAAAGUUUGCGGCUCAACCGUAAAAUUGCAGUUGAUACUGUCAGUCUUGAGUACAGUAGAGGUGGGCGGAAUUCGUGGUGUAGCGGUGAAAUGCUUAGAUAUCACGAAGAACUCCGAUUGCGAAGGCAGCUCACUGGACUGCAACUGACACUGAUGCUCGAAAGUGUGGGUAUCAAACAGGAUUAGAUACCCUGGUAGUCCACACAGUAAACGAUGAAUACUCGCUGUUUGCGAUAUACAAGUAAGCGGCCAAGCGAAAGCAUUAAGUAUUCCACCUGGGGAGUACGCCGGCAACGGUGAAACUCAAAGGAAUUGACGGGGGCCCGCACAAGCGGAGGAACAUGUGGUUUAAUUCGAUGAUACGCGAGGAACCUUACCCGGGCUUAAAUUGCAGUGGAAUGAUGUGGAAACAUGUCAGUGAGCAAUCACCGCUGUGAAGGUGCUGCAUGGUUGUCGUCAGCUCGUGCCGUGAGGUGUCGGCUUAAGUGCCAUAACGAGCGCAACCCUUAUCUUUAGUUACUAACAGGUUAUGCUGAGGACUCUAGAGAGACUGCCGUCGUAAGAUGUGAGGAAGGUGGGGAUGACGUCAAAUCAGCACGGCCCUUACGUCCGGGGCUACACACGUGUUACAAUGGGGGGGUACAGAAGGCAGCUAGCGGGUGACCGUAUGCUAAUCCCAAAAUCCUCUCUCAGUUCGGAUCGAAGUCUGCAACCCGACUUCGUGAAGCUGGAUUCGCUAGUAAUCGCGCAUCAGCCACGGCGCGGUGAAUACGUUCCCGGGCCUUGUACACACCGCCCGUCAAGCCAUGGGAGCCGGGGGUACCUGAAGUACGUAACCGCAAGGAUCGUCCUAGGGUAAAACUGGUGACU